GAUGAACGCUGGCGGCGUGCCUAAUACAUGCAAGUCGAGCGAACAGACGAGGAGCUUGCUCCUCUGACGUUAGCGGCGGACGGGUGAGUAACACGUGGAUAACCUACCUAUAAGACUGGGAUAACUUCGGGAAACCGGAGCUAAUACCGGAUAAUAUAUUGAACCGCAUGGUUCAAUAGUGAAAGACGGUUUUGCUGUCACUUAUAGAUGGAUCCGCGCCGCAUUAGCUAGUUGGUAAGGUAACGGCUUACCAAGGCAACGAUGCGUAGCCGACCUGAGAGGGUGAUCGGCCACACUGGAACUGAGACACGGUCCAGACUCCUACGGGAGGCAGCAGUAGGGAAUCUUCCGCAAUGGGCGAAAGCCUGACGGAGCAACGCCGCGUGAGUGAUGAAGGUCUUCGGAUCGUAAAACUCUGUUAUUAGGGAAGAAAAAAUGUGUAAGUAACUAUGCACGUCUUGACGGUACCUAAUCAGAAAGCCACGGCUAACUACG
rnacentral:rRNA from 1 species